rnacentral:rRNA from 1 species
GAUCAUGGCUCAGGAUGAACGCUAGCUACAGGCUUAACACAUGCAAGUCGAGGGGCAGCAUCAUCAAAGCUUGCUUUGAUGGAUAGCGACCGGCGCACGGGUGAGUAACACGUAUCCAACCUGCCGACAACUCUGGGAUAGCCUUUCGAAAGAAAGAUUAAUACCGGAUGGCAUAGUCUUCCCGCAUGGGAUGAUUAUUAAAAGAAUUUCGGUUGUCGAUGGGGAUGUCCG